rnacentral:lncRNA from 1 species
UAGGUAUUGGCUUAUUUUAUUGAAGAGAACACUCAUCGAAAAGAAACUCAAUAUCCAAGGUGUUGGAGGGGUGGAAAGUAUGACAUUAAAGAGAUGAUGAUGCUUGUCCUGGAACAAUCAGCUUAGCAGAACGUUGCAGCUGCUUCUUUCCAACUAUUUUUCUGGAUGGGAAUAGGAGCAUAUCCUCCGUUGGAAGGAAGAAAGAAGACAAACAGCAGCCUGCAUGCUUUUGAAGCUGGACUAUCAACAAAGGAUCUUCUCAAUCAAUUCACCACUAGCAACAGAAUGCAGGCGGUUCUCAGAAAUGGCUCACAAAGAAGCACAGAGAAAGGCUGUCUGAAGGCAGAAGCAGGAGAUGUUUCCCUCCUGAAGAUGGAAAUUGGACCUUCAAGCUUUUCUGUGGAGUCAGAAGUGCCACGGCCAUCUCAGUGCGGGUAAUUCAGAGAGGGUCAGAACACUUCCUCCAGGCCACCCAGGGGAGUUUUCAUUUCAGCCAUAAAAGUCAGAUUCCCCAGCUGCCCUCCUCCUGGGCUCUCCAGCCUCUGCCAGCACGAGGCCCAACCGGCAGUGUCCACCAGCAGAGGAACAAGAAGCAUUGAGGAGGAGUACCAGCUUGAGCAGCUGCCAGUGCCAUCUGCACAUUCCACCGGCAGAGGAGACAGAAGCAGCCUCAAAUCCCAUUGAAUUUAAAGAACGGGGAUGUUGAAGAGUGAGACUGAUGACAUCAGCUGGACUUCACGGGGGCCAGGGCCUAAGGGGAUUCAGUGGGUCCACUCAGCUUUCCAGGCUCCAAAAUAUGAUUUUGCCCAUGC